rnacentral:rRNA from 1 species
CAGCAGCCGCGGUAAUACGUAGGGUGCAAGCGUUAAUCGGAAUUACUGGUCGUAAAGCGUGCGCAGGCGGUUAUAUAAGACAGAUGUGAAAUCCCCGGGCUCAACCUGGGAACUGCAUUUGUGACUGUAUAGCUAGAGUACGGCAGAGGGGGAUGGAAUUCCGCGUGUAGCAGUGAAAUGCGUAGAUAUGCGGAGGAACACCGAUGGCGAAGGCAAUCCCCUGGGCCUGUACUGACGCUCAUGCACGAAAGCGUGGGGAGCAAACAGGAUUAGAUACCCCUGUAGUCCCUGUCUCUUAUAC